AUUGAACGCUGGCGGCAGGCCUAACACAUGCAAGUCGAACGAGGGGCGGACGGGAGAGUAAUGUCUGGGAAAGUGCCUGAUGGAGGGGGAUAACUACUGGAAACUGUAGCUAAAACCGCAUAACAUCAGAUGUGCCCAGAUGGGAUUAGCUUGUGGGUGGGGUAAAGGCUCACCAAGGCGACGAUCCCUAGCUGGUCUGAGAGGAUGCACAGCAACACUGGAACUGAGACACGGUCCAGACUCCUACGGGAGGCAGCAGUGGGGAAUAUUGGACAAUGGGGGCAAGCCUGAUGCAGCCAUGCCGCGUGUAUGAAGAAGGCCUUCGGGUUGUAAAGUACUUUCAGCGGGGAGGCGUUACCCGCAGAAGAAGCACCGGCUAACUCCGUGCCAGCAGCCGCGGUAAUUC
rnacentral:rRNA from 1 species